rnacentral:rRNA from 1 species
UACGUAGGGUGCAAGCGUUAAUCGGAAUUACUGGGCGUAAAGCGUGCGCAGGCGGUUUUGUAAGUCUGUCGUGAAAUCCCCGGGCUCAACCUGGGAAUUGCGAUGGAGACUGCAAGGCUAGAGUCUGGCAGAGGGGGGUAGAAUUCCACGUGUAGCAGUGAAAUGCGUAGAGAUGUGGAGGAACACCGAUGGCGAAGGCAGCCCCCUGGGUUAACACUGACGCUCAGGCACGAAAGCGUGGGGAGCAAACAGG